UUAGAAAUUGCUCAGCAGGAGACAAAUGAGGUUCCCAUGUGAACUGUGUAGGUGAUUGAGUGAAGAGGGUAAUCGAUGUCUUUGGAGAUCCAUCUUCUUGUUCACAUUUGUGUUAAGAAGUAUGCAGAGCAGAAAGCCUUGAACAGUUUGGAACUGGGGAGCUGGUUACAUUGGAGUGUCAAGCACACAUUGCAGCCCUCCUGCUUUUACAUACGCACAUCUUGCCACUUGCAAAGCUGUCUGCUUGGAUCUGUGUUUGGUAAGGGCAGACAUACCUUGUCUGGGUUCUGACUGUGUCACCAUGCUGGCACAACAUCUGGCCUGCACAAUAUCCAGAGAAAUACUUUGUUGAUUAAAUGACCUCAGUUGGUUCUCAGGGGGCGUCCUGUGGAUUCAGAGACAACAAGUUUCAGCAUUCCAUUCUCCAGGUUCAAAGAGGGCAAUUAUUUACCUAGGGUCACAUGGCCGGUAGCUCAAGGAUCUAGAUCUCUCCUUUACACUGUGCUUUAUCUUAACUCCAGUAAUAGAAGUGGAAAAGCCACACUUUGAUCAACUAACUGUGUUUUGAUAUAAUGGAUGAGGGGUUGUAACUCUGAGAGACUUCAAAAAUCAUAGUCGCCUGUUGGAGCGGUAACAGAGUCUCUCUUGAUGGUGCUAUCAAGUCAGGUUUUAUAAUUUAGCAGAAGGAAAGAAAACUAUUCCUUCUUAUGCAGCUGGAUAUUCAGGCGCCAGGCAGAGUGUGUGUACUGGGUGUAUAAAUGAACGGACGCAGUGUGAGCCCCAGCUCUCGGAGUGCUUGCCUUUUCACAGGGGAGGCAGACUGCUUAUAAAUCCAUAAGCGUGCUGUGUAUUUCAGACACAAAUCUGAGCAGGGUGCAUGUAUUAGGGGAGAAAGAGUGAUGGUGUCAGACAGAGGGUGAUUUUAUUUGGGGAAGUCAAGGAAAUCCUUUCAUGGCGUGUGACACUCAUGCAGAGACCUCAGUGAUGCGUAGGAGUGCUGCGGGGGUGACAUCAUCAGAGCUUUGCAGAUGGAGAGAAUGGCCAUGCAAAGGCCCUGAGGUCAGAAGGAGGCUUUGACUCUGGAGUGAGAGGCAAGAGGACUUGAAUUUUAUUCUACCUGUGAUAGGAGACUGAAUUUGUUUCCCAGGGCUGCCCUAACAAAGGGACCACAAACUUGGUGGCUUGAAACAACAGAAGUUUGUUCUCUCACAAUUCGAGGAGGACAGAAGUCUGGAGCCAAGCUGUCACCCUGCCUCCCUCGCUCUGAAGUUACCAGGGGAGAAUCUUCCCUUGCCUCUUGAAGCUUCCGGUAGCUCCAGGCAUCCCUUGGCUUGUGGCAGAAUCACUCCAGGCUCUGCCACUGUGUUUACACGACCUUCUCCUUUGUAUCUGUGUCUUGUCCUCUUCUGCCUCUUUUAAGGACACUGGUUAUUGGAUUUGGGUCCCACCCAGGUAAUCCAGGGUGAUCUCAUCUUGAGAUCUUUUUAACUUAAGUACACUUGCAGAAACCCUUUUUCCAUAGAAGCUCAUAGUCACAGGUUCUGGAUGUGAACAUAUCAUUUUGGGGCCUGCUGUUCAACUCAUCAUGGGAACUAUGGAGGGCAUUUAAGCAGGGGCAGUAGUGGUGUCUGCGGUGUUUCAUAAAGAUGGAUUGGAUCCUAUGGGAGAGCAGUUGUAGGUGAAUGAAGAAUCAACCAGAAGUAGCUGUUGCAGUGGGGGCUUGUUUGAUGGAUUAGAAGUAGCAAGGAAGGAAAAGAGACAAUCCAAGAUGGCAGUGGCCUUCACAGAGAAGUGGGGAGUCGGGUUCAGGAGGAAACCAAGGCAGUGGUGGUACCAUCCAGAGUUCUGUUUGAGGCAUGUGAACUGUUGAGAGGGCGAGAUGCUGGGCGUUCAUUAACUUAGAUGUGUGGACCUGUAGCUCAGCAGAUCUAUAAAGGUGAGCUUUGUCAGCCUAGAGACGGGGUAGGACGGAAGGACACUCCUUUCCAGGAAGAGGGUUGUCAUGGACUGGAGACCACAAUUUAGUCCAUUUGCAUGAAGAUCACCAAACUGAUGACCACCAGUUUCAAUCUCUCAACCCUGGCAUUUAUGUCAAUGUCUUCCCUGGUCUCUCAGAUGGUAAAGAAUCUGCCUUUAAUUUGGGAGACCCGGGUUCAGUCCUUGGGUUGGGAAGAUCCAGAGAAGGGAAGAUUCAGAGAAGGGAAUGGCUACCCACUCCGGUAUUCUUGCCUGGAGAAUUCCAUGGGCAGAGGAGCCUGGUGGGCUACGGUCCAUGUGGUUGCAAAGAGUCAGACACGACUGAGCAGCUGACACUGAGGGAGGGAAGCAAGCCAUCAGGAGAACCUGGCUCAGUUACCCUUGGCUGUCACAAAGGCCGUUGUGUGGUUAAUUUUUAUUUCAUUGCGAUCUUUAUUUUACUUUUUUUUUUUGAAUUGUUUCAUUGUAAGCUCGACAAGCCUGAUUGGCAGAUUCACUGUCUGAUUUUUUCUAGUUUUAAAUGAUAUGCUUUUUCUCCCAGCCAUCUUCAUCUAUUAACCUACAUUCAUUUUUAAUUUUAAUGCUCCAAUCAAUAAUUAUUUCGCUUGACAGUUUUUGACAGUUUGCUGCUCCAUUUAGCUGUUUAGCAUGAAUUUAAAAGGUGGUUUCUCAGUCUGUACAAGGGAAGUAAACUUGCUCUUUCAUCCUCUGCUUUGAGGGGCCAUAGGAAAAUAGGCAUGUUUUGCUCUUUCCUAGGAGAAGGCAAUGGCACCCCACUCCAACUACUCUUGCCUGGAAAAUCCCAUGGACGGAGGAGCCUGGUGGGCUGCACUCCAUGGGGUCGCAUGACUGAUGCGACUUCACUUUCAUGCACUGGAGAAGGAAAUGGCAACCCACUCCAGCGUUCUUGCCUGGAGAAUCCCAGGGACGGGGCAGCCUGGUGGGCUGCCGUCUCUGGGGUCGCACAGAGUCGGUCACGACUGAAGCGACUUAGCAGCAGCAGCAGCAGGGAGUUUUUAAUAUAGAAGAACUUCUUAGUUUUCCAUGUAGGAAGAUAGAGGACUAUAGAACAGUCACAUUUUCUGUUAUGUAGCAUUUUGUUCCUGUCAUUAAUUCACUUGAAAGGCCGGAAUUCUGUUAAUGGGAAUUGCUAUUGUGAGGUCAGCCUUUCGCCAAAUAUUUAUUGAAUACUCAUUGUGUGCAAGGCACUAUGUUAAAUGUGAUGAGAAAUUAAUACACGAGUUGGACAUGACUGACUGAGCGUGCGCACGUGCGCAGGCGCGCACACACACACACACACACUCCAAGAAGUAUAGUGCUCAGGGAAAGUGAUUUUCAAAAUUAUGAUGAGUAGAAAUUCUUAGAAAAAUUACAGUUUUAUCUUGCUCAAUAUUAUCCGCACCCAGGAUAAUCCUGCUUGGAAAUUCCGAGUGAAAAGCCAGAAGCCAAAGUGCACGGUCAUCUUCUUGUCUACAUUAUGCACACACAUACGUGAGCACGUUGUCAUCAAGGGCAAACCUAGCUGAAGACUAAACAGAGUGGGGUGGGGGCUGGGGGCAUGGUCCUUCCCACUAGAAUCACAGUGUGAAAGUUCUUGGCAGUUUCAGAUGGUGUCGGCUAUAGCUGUUAGUUUACAUUUUGAUAAUUUACUAGUGAGCGUGUAACAGUUAAUUCCUAGUUGGAUUGUGCCACCAAACACAGCAUUGCCAACAGGACACGCUGCAAAUGAGAAAGUUAAGAGUUCUUUUAGGGGACGUGCUCUCUCCGUCGGCUCUUCUGUGAGUCGGAGCAUGACCUGUGGGUCAGAAGUUCUGGAACAGAAGGUGGAACUUGGGCCGUGUCACAGCGAACAGGAAAGGAGGUGCGCCAUGCUCCUGCGCCUUUGCGGUGAGCUGCUCUGCUCAGCCUUUCCUCCUGGAUCUGGGGCCGCUUGGCCUCAGAUAUCCUGGCAUGAUUUAGGGAAGCAGGCCCUGACCUUCUGGAGCCCUCUCUUUCAUUUUGCUCCAGGCUUAUUAUUAGGCAAAAUUCAGUGUCGUAUUUGUAUGGCUAAAACUCCUCCGACUUCAGGACUGAGCUCUUGUUUUUCAGCUGAGUAGGGCCAGAGAUCUAGCAUUUUCUGGACAUCACUGACCCUUCACCACAAUUGAGGUUUAUGAUUCACUCUGCCGUGCAGCAGAAACUAACACAGCAUUGUAAUGUAACUAUACUCCAAUGAAGACAAUAUAUUAGGGCAAAAAAACCCCCCAAAACCCCUUAUAGAAACUUCCUUGCACCUUAUGGUGGCAGCCAAGCCAGUCACUCAUUAGAACUAUGAACACUUGGCUGUUGCUCUUUUCGACUCAAGUCUGGUUUUUAGGUUGUUUACUCAGAGCUGCUGCUGACUUUCAUUGUACACACGCAUAGGGAGGCAAACAGAAACCCUGUUCUGCACCCGCCAGUGCUCUGGCUUUGUUGUCCCCUAAGGACUUUGGAAAUUAGUUGAAAGUGAGCAGAGCUGGAAGUGGUGUGUCAGCCAGGCUGCUGGAGAGGGCUGGCUGGGUCUCCACCCGCUCGCCACCCUCCGCCCUGCAGCCCGGAGAUGGCUUCAGGUCUGUGUCCAGGACUUGCCACACUGACUCAGAGAGCUAACUAACGUCUGGAUCGGAGCACGCACUUUGAUGCCGGCGUGGUAAUUCACAGUGAGACGCGUCACUCAUGUAUCCUCGGGCGCCGAGAUCAGCGUAUGCUCUGUGUCAAGCUACUUUGGAAUGUAAAUCACAAGUGGAAGCUAUUCUGUUGAUUCACUUUGAGAAGUUGCUUGCUUUCUCGAUUCAGGUAGCAGUAAGGGUUACAGCACUUUCGUCUCCUUAAGAAAUGUUUCAUAGGGAGUUAGGUAAUUGCUUGGUGAGCCUGGAAUCAGAACAGGGAAGAGCUGUUGCUCUCUUCGUCUCAGGAGAAGGACGUUUUUCUAGUGGGACCCACAGUCAUCUCACCAGGGUCGUCUAGAUAGUGAAGCCACUUUCUUCUCCACAACAGACUUGGCACUGCUCACGUUUGCUUUAGUGACUAUACUCAUCCCUGGAUGAGCCACCUUUGGAAGACAAUCUUUUCUUAAAUUUAUGAAUGUAAUUCACAGGUACUGGCUGGAGCAGGGGGCUGUGGUGGGGGUGGGGGUGGCACUUUGCUGUCUUCAUUGACUUUGUGUGUAUAUAUUCUUAUCCAUUAAGUCUAGUUCUUACUGUAAACCUCUGACUUGGCAAUCUCUUUUUCCCAUUUUCAAGUUCCUGGUGGAGAGUGGUGGUGUAUAUCUUAUUAUACUCCUCAUUAUACUCUUUAUAAGACCCUUGGAGACUUUGUAAUAAACACCCCGUGAAUUAUAACUUCAGAUCAAGCCCUGGGAAUUUCCCAGCAGCAUGGAGGCAUUUGCCCAGAGCAAGGGUAGGUAGAUUAUGGCCCAUAUCUGGCCUGCUGCCACUUUUUUUUAUAAAUAAAGUUUUAUUGGAACAAGCCAUGUCCAUUCAUUUAUCUAAUGUCCAUGGAGGCUUCCACAGUAUAACUACAGAACUGAGAUGAGUAGUUGAGAAAGGGAUUGUAAACCAACACAAAGUCUGAGAUAUUUACUCUUGGGUGUGUUUCAGAAAAUGUUUGCCAACCUUGGUCUGUAGAAUUUGCAAGUCAUAGAAUUGCAACAAGUAAGAACUGGAAGCUUAGUCUCCCUCCUCCCACCGAAAUUCAGUGAACAAGUGGAGGAUUAGAGAAGAAUGAGACUUGCGUAAAGGUCACAGAGCCGCUUCGUGAGAGAGCCAGAAACUGGACUCAGACUUUCCAGUUCCUAGCGUCAGUACUUGCCUUUUGCUUUUGGAGGUGGGACGUUGGGAGUUUUACAGGUUACAGAUGACCAGCCAUUAUGACGCACAGAAUAGGGCUUCUUCAAUGGCAAGAGCUAUUUGCCAAACUGACUUCCCCUGGAUAAAAUUACCAACCAGACUGGUACUGAUAUUCAUUUGACAGCACCUACCAGAGGCUGAGAGUGGAGGAAAGGGCUAAGGACCCUGAUGAAUAAAUGCUGUCCUUACCCUCUGGAAAUUUGGAUGAGAGGAAGAGUCAGAUAUUUGCACGUCUCUUUGUUUGCAGUGUGUUUAAAUGUCAUCAUAGGGCCACGAUCAAAUAAAAGGAAAACUGUUCAUUUGAUCAUGGGGAUAGAGGUGUUAUCAAAGGUGGCUCCACAGAGUUGAAGAUGUUUGAGCUGAAGAACUCUCUCAAAAGAGGCUUGCGAUAGAUGUGGCUUGGGGGCCUCUAGGCACAAAAUCCAAUAGUGUAGGAAUACUUGUCUACCACAUCCAGAGGUAGGGCAGAGGGUCUGUGGUGAAGAGGGGACAAAAAAACACAGUUGGAAAUGUAGAUUGGGCCUAAACAGUGGCGUUCAUGGUAUUUCAUGAUAAAGACUUUACUUUCUGGGGGUCUCUAACCUGUAGAUUUUAGGACAUGGGAGACCACAGUUUUUAUGAAGGAGGACCUACCCAUCCAUAUGGGCUCCCCAAGUGGCGCUAGCAGGUAAAGACCCUGCCUGCCAGUGCAGGAGACGUAAGAGAUGUGGGUUCGAUUCCUGAAUGGGGAAGAUCCCCUGGAGAAGGGCGUGGCAACCCACUCCAGUAUUCUUGCCUGGAGAAUCUCAUGAACAGAGAAGUCUGGUGGGCUACAGUCCAUAGGAUCACACAGAGUGGGACACGGCUGAAGUGACUUAGCAUGCGCACACAAAUCCAUAUGCAGUGAAAGCCUCAUGUGUGGGUUUAAUAAUUAAUAUCACUAACAGAAAUCAGUGCUUUCUCCCAAAUAUACGUAGCUGGUUGAUAUGAUAAUUCAUCAACCCCAAAUUCAUUUAAAGUGUUACUAAAUUAAUCGUGUCUUUUUGGUCACUGUGUAUUUUUUUGAUUAACAGAUAUUUAGAGCAAAGUAUCUAUUGCUCACAGUUGGCAAAAUUUUGGAUUAAAAAAUAAUAUUGGAAACCACUGCUGUUGAUGACAGAUAGGCAUGCAGUUUUUUGAGUUAACAAAUGGGAUUGGUUCUGGGGUCAUGCUGCUCCAAAUCUAUUUAGCUGUGUGACUUGGACCAAGUUAUUUAACCUCUACAAACCUUAGAGUCCUUAUCUCUAAUAGUAACAUGAUAACAUUUGCCUCUUUGUCAUAAAGAUGUAUGAAAAGCAUUAGCACAGUGCCAGUUUCAUGAGAUGUGCCCAGUAAUGUCAGCUGUUUUCAUUAUUUCUGGUAGUCUGUGCAAAUGUGUAUGAGAUCUGACCCAGGGUGGAGGACGAAUUCCAAGCAGAGCGUUGUAAGACCUUUUGUUACUCAAGUGAGUAACAAUGGGGCUGGCAUGGGCAGAGGGCAGCGGUAUAGAGAGUAUGGGAGAGUAAACGUCCACCUCAGGUGAUGACGUGGAAAAUGAAAGAACCCAGCUUCCGUUCAUGCCCAGAGCAAUGGACGAGGUAGAGAUUAGACUUCAGUGAACCUUGUUCCUGUGAUUUCCUGGCAGUAUAUAGUGUGAAUUAUCUGGCAGGUUCCGUAGCUCUUAGUUCCUAGAAUUGAUCUAGGUAAGAAUUCACCUAGAGUAAAUUUUAUUUAUUAGUUUAAUGAAUUAAUAAGCCCUUUUUGGAACAUGUUAGAAUUAGAAUAUAAGUAUCUUGCUUCAUGAUGAUGUAGUAUAACUCUGCAGUUCAGCCUAUCCCUAUCAUAAAGCUUUCAAAGAAAUGUAUAUAGGACAAUAAGUGGCAUAGUCCAAAUUUUAAAAAAUUGUUCUAUUUGCAUAUUAUUAAUUAUUGAUGUCUGUACUUAGAAAAAAAUCAAACAGGAUAAAUGUUAAGUGUUGUCUAGGAGAUUUGUAUUUUCUAAAGUGAAAAUAUGCGUUUUGGAAAAAUAUUUUUAUUUUAUAUUUGAGAAUAGUUGAUGAACAAUGUUGCAUUAGCUUCAGCUGUACCGCAAAGUGAUUCAGUUAUAUUAAUGCAUAUACAUCUUUCUAUUCUUUUUAAAAUUCUUUUCCCUGUUUAGGUUAUUGCAGAAUAUUAAACAGACUUCUCUGUGCCAUAUAGUAGGUCCUUGUUGGUUUCUCGUUUAUGUGUAGCAGUGUGUACGUGUCAAUGUGUAUUUUUAAAGUGCUAAAAAGGGAAACUUUAAACAGGACUGGAUUGGAAAGGCUGAAGGGAAUUUGCCUUCCCCAUCUUUUUGAGAAGCUGUUUACAAAUCCUAGUGGUAGUGGGUGCUCUCCCAAGUGUUUCAUUUCAGUCAGAUGGUGUUCUUCUAAAUCUGGGGAAAUGGGGACCAGCUCAUAAAGGUGGGUGGAAGUGAGAAAUGAGAGUAGCGGUAGUACAUGCUAAUGGGGCCAGUCAGAAUUUGACUAUUACAUUUUAUUGAAUUAUUUUUCAUGUUAGAAUCCAGGCUAAGACAAAUGAUUCCUGUUACUUUACCAUCCGUUCUCAAUGUGCAAAUUCUCACACUUGGGUGUUGGCACACAUGUGUGGGUACACAGUGAAGGGGUGCUGGGCGGUUGCCAGGAGCAGCGACAACUCCAGUCCAGGAAUCAGGAAACGGGGGGUGGUGAUCUUGUCUCAACCCUGUUACUUAGUUUUGUAAUAGACUUAAAUCAUUAACCUCCCUGAGCCCAGCCUUUUCACCUGGGAAUGAAGGAUAUCCAUAACAGUUCUGACCACCUCACAGGCUUAUUUUGGAAAUCCAUUUUGAACAGAUUAUAAAGCUCCAUACACAUGAGAGUUGUUUUCAGUGCUGGCUUGGCCCGUCUUCAGCACUGCAGUCGCGGGCAAGUGGCUCAGGCUCUGUAGACCUGGCCCCGAAAAACUACCAAGUCUACCGAGUCCUCAUUUUUGUCUUGAGACAGUGGAGACGAAGGUUCAGAAACAGUGGGUCAGAGGAGCGUCACCUAGGGCAGUAGGUCUCAAACUGAGACAGCAUCAAAAUUAACUGGAAAGGCGUGUGAAACUGCAGAAUCCUGGGCCCUGGGAUUUCUGAUUUCCUCCGUUGGGACCUGAGAAUAUGCAUUUGUAACAAAAUUCCCUCAUGAUGUCGAUGCUGGGGUUUUAGGGACCAUACUCUAG
ensembl:lncRNA